UUCAUUUUCAACACCAGUGGUGCAACUAGUGCUUUUUAACUGCACUGAACCAACACAAUGACAAGGGAGCAAAGCAAACUUUCAAGUGGUCAACGCCAUUUAUCUUGAGGUUCUUGCCUGGUACUUUCUUAGCCCAAGCGAUCAUGUGCACCAGCUCCUUGUCAGCCAUGCUGGUGAGCAGGGUCAUCAUGGUGACCUCUGUGUAGGGGCGGGCCACCUUCUGACGAGAACACAGGGCCGGAGGCUCUGCCCCCUGCAGCAGGAACAGCACCUUGGUGGAAGAGCAGGAGGUUAUGACAGAGUUAGAAAAGAUCAGCACCUUGGGGGGAGGCACCACCCAUUCAAUUCCAAUUGUACCCCUGGAGUAUGUAUAGAUCUAUGACAUGUUCAGACCUGUUCAGGAGGCAUGGUGAUUCUGGGCCCACGCCAUCCUCCACCACCAUUGAGACUGCUGC